CAGGAUACACUGUGACUGUGUCUUUGUAAAAGGCACAUAGAGAUGAAUAGAAAAGUUAUGCAUCCCCAGAAAACUUCACGGAGUUCUCCAGUUGAGAUGUGGCAUUUCAGAGGACAUCUUUAGCAGUAUGGACAUUUAUCUGACCUCUCACAAAGAUUUUAUCCAUUUAUGUGACAGAGAGACAGCCAGCGAGAGAGGGA